UUGAAGGGGGUUUCCCGGUAGUACGAGAGGACCCCGGGAAGGAGACCGCUGGUGGACCAGUUGUCCCGCCAGGGGCAGGAGCUGGGUAGCUAAGUCUCUACUGGAUAAGCGCUGAAAGCAUCUCAAGCGCGAAGCCUACCCCAAGAUAAGACCUCCCAUCCUUGUGCAAGCAAGGAGUAAGACCCCUCGUAGACUACGAGGUUGAUAGGCCUGAGGUGUAAGCGCAGCAAUGCGUUUAGCUGACGGGUACUAAUAGGUCGAGAACUUACUAUACCCCAU
rnacentral:rRNA from 1 species